GGAGCCAAAAUGUCGAAGAGAGGGUUGCAGAUUGGCAUCUGACAUUUUGUUCCAAAGUGUACAUUUAACACAUUGAAAAACAAUAUAUAUUACAGGUCAAAAUCUUGGCUCGACUAUGCCAAGAGGUAUGAUCUUCUUGGAAAGUCUGCUUCGCAACACUAUGCCACCUAUCGCGUCUGCAGUGAUCACUUCACUGCAAAAGAUUUUAUGGACCCAGGGCAAACAACCCUAGUGCGAUCAGCUGUGCCUACUGUUCGUCCUCCCAUAAACUGGGCAUCUGCAAUAGGUCCCACUCAGGCAACCAGCUCAUCUGGCCCUUCACUCCAGUGCAGCUCCGUCGCAGCGAGCCGUUCUGUGCUUGCUAACAGGUUAUCUCGUCAUGGUGCACCUUUCCAGACCAGGCAGAGCCCGACAGACUGCAGAAUUCACCACUUCCAUGUAGCUCCGCAGUAAUGCACUCUGCAGCACUCGGUAAUAUAGAGUUAUUUUAAAGCACCAGCCUGUGCCUAAUAUGCGCACUCUUCCAGACCCAAGUCAGGCAACCAGCUCUUCUGGUCUUUUCGCUGGCCACUGUGGUCCAGGUCAACACUCUGGUCCAAACCAUCCUGCACCUGUUUUCCGCAAGCUCACGAAAAGGCCCGAGGACGUUAUCAAGCGACUCCAGGCGAGAAUUUCCAGCUACAGAAAGGCGAUAGCCAGACUGCGGAAACAGCAGCUGAAGACGCCUCAGACAGCUUCUCAAGCUCUGGAAAUAAUUCGGCCUCAUGUUUCUGAAGAGGUAUUUCACCUCAUAUCAUCGCAUGUAAAGAAUAGGUCGAAGGGCAAGGGGAA